rnacentral:rRNA from 1 species
UACGUAGGGUGCAAGCGUUGUCCGGAAUUAUUGGGCGUAAAGAGCUCGUAGGCGGUUUGUCGCGUCGAAUGUGAAAACCCGGGGCUCAACUCCGGGCCUGCAUUCGAUACGGGCAGACUAGAGUUCGGUAGGGGAGACUGGAAUUCCUGGUGUAGCGGUGAAAUGCGCAGAUAUCAGGAGGAACACCGGUGGCGAAGGCGGGUCUCUGGGCCGAAAUUGACGCUGAGGAGCGAAAGCGUGGGGAGCAAACAGG